GGAAGCAAACCAAAUAUUUCUUACUUUUGAGUUUUUGUAUGCAAAUAAUGCUUUGUACAUAAUAAUGGAAAAGACAACUUAGGAAAGUUUGAUGCUAGAAGUGAUGAGGCUAUAUUUUUAGGAUAUGCCUCAAAUAGUAAAGUUUAUCGUGUUUACAAUAAACGUACAAUGUGUGUUGAGGAAAAUGUCCAUAUUAUAUUCGAUGAAACUAACUCCUUGCAGGAACAAAGGCAUGAUGAUGACUUUGAAAUUGGAUUGACUCGCCUAGAAGAGUCUAAUCAUUAUAACGAGGAACUAACCCCUGCAGGAAAAGAGAAGAAGCUAGUUCCUGAUCCAGAGAACCUUGUGUCUGAUCCACCCAAGGAACAAGCAAACGAAGGAGCUCAAGAAAAUAUAGUGGUACCUGAACCUAAAGAAGAUCGCAUGAAUCAACCACCUCAAGAAACUCAAGAAGCAACCAGGAUAUUUGAUCUAAAGCCUUGUGCACUACCGAAAAGUUCAAGGAGCUUAGUGAAGAAAGUCGAAAGCGAUCAAGUCUGAAAGUUUCAAGCUAUCGAGGAAGCUCCCGUGGGUACCAAUACUGUGAAGAUGAGAUUGCAAAUGAUCUUCAGAAACAAGGGAUCCACGUCGAGCAAGUGCCUCGCCAUGAGUUAUGGAUUAGAGCUCGUUCACUUGUGAAAGAUGGAAUAGUAACAUUUGACAAUCCAAUCGACCAUGAAACUGCUAAUGCAAUCAAUGCAUUGAAGGCGCAAUCGGAAAAAGGUGAAGUUGUCAUAGAGGGUGGUCGAGAUGAUAUUUUGGCUAGAGCACUCAAGAAGCCCGAG